rnacentral:rRNA from 1 species
UCCGGGGGGAGCAAGCGUUGUUCGGAUUUACUGGGCGUAAAGGGCGCGUAGGCGGUCGUGACAAGUCACUUGUGAAAUCUCCGGGCUUAACUCGGAACGGUCAAGUGAUACUGUCGGACUAGAGUACAGAAGGGGCAACUGGAAUUCUCGGUGUAGCGGUGAAAUGCGUAGAUAUCGAGAGGAACACCUGCGGCGAAGGCGGGUUGCUGGGCUGAUACUGACGCUGAGGCGCGAAAGCCAGGGGAGCGAACGGG